rnacentral:lncRNA from 1 species
CCGUGAGUUAAGAAUACAAUAUGUGAUACCAAUUUAUACAUAAGACAUAUGGGCCUAUAAGGCCAAAAUAACCACCUGUAUACUGAACAUAGACCGACAAGGCCAUACAAUCUUUUACGUACAUGACAUCUGUCUACAAGCCUCUAAGAAUACAUAAUUUUCAUACAGGUAGGGAUAGAGCCCUGCCAUACUAAACAGUACACGUCUAAAUCAUACUAACCAAACAAACAACCCCGAAACAAAUGGAGCGCACCAACAUCUUCCGCUGAGAUGAUAGCCUACUUGGAGGGCUCUCGACCUAUCUAUCGGGACCUGCCGACAUGAAACGCAGCGUCCCCAGGCAAAAGGGAUGUCAGUAUGAAUAAUGUACUGAGUGUGUAAGACACAUAAAUAAGUACAUAACAGAUAUAAAAGAAAUAUAGAGUAAAUAAUUCAAGUUGUAAGUCUGAAAAACAUUAUAAAUCAUGAAAUACUUAUAGUGUCAUACAUAUGCGUAUGAAUGUCAUGUCGUGCAUAGGUACAUGUUUCAUAACAUCAUCAGCCUCUGAGGGCAUCCCAUCAUAUCAUCUCGGCCAGUGUGGGCAAAAUCAUCAACGUAUACCAGCUGAUCAGGUGGUGGUGCGUAUAUAAUGCCGUAACCUUUUCCAUAUCCUACAUACAUAUAAUAUACAUAUAUAUACGCGUAUAUAACGUCAUUUGGUCAUGUGUCAAUGUACAUGAAUGCAAUGCAUGAGAAGUACGUUAAUAAAAUCUUUCGGAAUGUCAUAAGACCAUUAUGUCUUUUGAGUAAUAUCAUGAAGUAAACUUUUUCAACUUACGUAUUUUUAUGAGACCCAUGAACAGAGGAUAAAAUAAUAGGACACAUGAGAAUUCN